CCAAGGACACUGGCAAUCCUGCUUAAGGACUUGCUGCCCCAACAAGACAUUGGUAAGUUAGGAAACUUUAUCCAUAAAGGAAUUUCAGUGGGGAAAGUUGCUUUGAAGUCAAAAUCCACAGACCAUUGCUUCAAAAUCAUUGGUCUAUUGGCAAUAGUAUAUGGUCAUCCACACAGUAUUUCCUUAGCAUCUUCAAUGGAUUUGAAUUUAACAAUAUAGUAACCCUCCUCAUGAUAGAACAUUUCAGGAUCAGGAACAUGUGACCAGUGGAGAUUAAUAAAUCACUGCAUUCCAUUAUACCCAGGGCUAUUGCCUAACACAAAUACUACCAAAGCACAUUUC
rnacentral:lncRNA from 1 species